GAAGUACAUGAGCUGAAGCCUAGAAGGAUCCCUGUAUAGUGUAGGCACAAAAGUGUGCAAUAUGUGUCAACUCUUACACAAUCUAGUCCAAGAUGUGAAAGCUUGACAUCGCAUUCCAUGGUCCCGUGCCACAUUUCAUCAGCGUUCUUCCUUCGCUUUCUCCAAAGC
rnacentral:lncRNA from 14 species